rnacentral:rRNA from 1 species
UAGGGAAUCUUCGGCAAUGGGGGGAACCCUGACCGAGCAACGCCGCGUGAGUGAAGAAGGUUUUCGGAUCGUAAAGCUCUGUUGUUAAGGAAGAACGAGUGUGAGAAUGGAAAGUUCAUGCUGUGACGGUACUUAACCAGAAAGGGACGGCUAACUACGUGCCAGCAGCCGCGGUAAUACGUAGGUCCCGAGCGUUGUCCGGAUUUAUUGGGCGUAAAGCGAGGGCAGGCGGUUAGAAAAGUCUGAAGUGAAAGGCAGUGGCUCAACCAUUGUAGGCUUUGGAAACUGUUUAACUCGAGUGCAGAAGGGGAGAGUGGAAUUCCAUGUGUAGCGGUGAAAUGCGUAGAUAUAUGGAGGAACACCGGUGGCGAAAGCGGCUCUCUGGUCUGUAACUGACGCUGAGGCUCGAAAGCGUGGGGAGCGAACAGG